UGCACAAAGCACGUGAUGACAAAUCGCAGAAACUGAUUGUAUGAAGUACAUUCAAUCCAACACUGAGCUUUGUGUC
rnacentral:snoRNA from 1 species